rnacentral:rRNA from 1 species
GAUGAACGCUGGCGGCGUGCCUAAUACAUGCAAGUCGAGCGAACAGACGAGGAGCUUGCUCCUCUGACGUUAGCGGCGGACGGGUGAGUAACACGUGGAUAACCUACCUAUAAGACUGGUAUAACUUCGGGAAACCGGAGCUAAUACCGGAUAACAUGUUGAACCGCAUGGUUCAACAGUGAGAGACGGUUUUGCUGUCACUUAUAGAUGGAUCCCCGCCGCGUUAGCUAGUUGUUAAGGUAACGGCUUACCAAGGCAACGAUGCGUAGCCGACCUGAGAGGGUGAUAGGCCACCUUGGAACUGGGACGGGGUCAAGAGUACUACGGGAGGCCGCAGUAGGGAAUCUGCCGCAAUGGGCGAAAGCAUGACGGAGCAGCGCCGCGUGAGUGAAGAAGGUCUUCGGAUCGUAAAACUCUGUUAUUAGGGAAGAACAAAUGUGUAAGUAACUAUGCACGUCUUGACGGUACCUAAUCAGAAAGCCACGGCUAACUACGUG